UACGUAGGUGGCGAGCGUUGUCCGGAUUUACUGGGCGUAAAGGGAGCGUAGGCGGGCUUUUAAGUGAGAUGUGAAAUACUCGGGCUCAACUUGAGUGCUGCAUUUCAAACUGGAAGUCUAGAGUGCAGGAGAGGAGAAUGGAAUUCCUAGUGUAGCGGUGAAAUGCGUAGAGAUUAGGAAGAACACCAGUGGCGAAGGCGAUUCUCUGGACUGUAACUGACGCUGAGGCACGAAAGCGUGGGGAGCAAAUAGG
rnacentral:rRNA from 1 species